UCUACGGGAGGCUGCCGUGAGGAAUAUUGGUCAAUGGGCGCGAGCCUGAACCAGCCAAGUAGCGUUAAGGAUGACUGCCCUACGGGUUGUAAACUUCUUUUAUAAAGGAAUAAAGUGAGGCACGUGUGCCUUUUUGUAUGUACUUUAUGAAUAAGGAUCGGCUAACUCCGUGCCAGCAGCCGCGGUAAUAAGGAGGAUCCGAGCGUUAUCCGUAUUUAUUGGGUUUAAAGGGAGCGUAGAUGGGUUGUUAAGUAAGUUGUGAAAGUUUGAGGAUCAACCGUAAAAUUGCAAUUGAGACUGGCAGCCUUGAGUACAGUUGAGGUAGGCGGAAUUCGUGGUGUAGCGGUGAAAUGCUUAGAUAUCACGAAGAACUCCGAUUGCGAAGGCAGCCUACUAAACUGCCACUGACAUUGAUGCUCGAAAGUGUGGGUAUCAAACAGGAUUAGAUACCCUAGUAGUC
rnacentral:rRNA from 1 species